GCCAGGCGUUGUGGCGGGCGCCUGUGGUCCCAGCUACUUGGGAGGCGGGAGGCAGGAGACUCGCUUGAGCCCAGGAGUUGGAGGUUGCUGUGAGCUGUAAUGCCAUGGCACUCUACCCAGGGGGACAGCUUGAGGCUCUGUCUCAAAAAAAAAUAAAAAAGAAGAAAAUCAUAAAGGAGAGAAAAUAUUUUUCCUAUUCUGUAUCAUUAUUCAUUAUCUUUUUUUUUUUUUUUUUUUGAGACAGAGCCUCAAGCUGUCCCCCUGGGUAGAGUGCCAUGGCUUCACUGCUCACAGCAACCUCUAAC
rnacentral:sRNA from 1 species